GGGAGGGUUGAAAGGGAGAAAACGAGAGGGAGAGACGGUGUAGAAGAAGGAGCAAGAAGGAGAGACCGAGCCGUCAGUGAGAGUAGUACCAAUCGCGGAGCGUUGGCGGACAUAAGCGCGCUAGGGGUGUGGAAUAAGCCCAUUCGUGUGUUGUUCUAGCGUCGAGCGUAGCGAGAAAGGAAACGCUGAAACACGGAAGUGAGAGAUACCCCGUACGUUUCGCCAUUCCCGUGACACCGAUUCGACGGCGUAUCCACCGGUGUACGCGUGUGUAAUCAGUGCCAGCGAACGAGCGCGACCAUCGGCAAACCCACUCGCCGCAAAGUCAGCCGCGAUAACUAUCGUAAGUGGUCGGUUUAACCUGACCAACGGCGAUAGAGGAACAGAGAAGUAGAAUCCAUUAUCGGGGAAACGAUUUUUCGUUUCGAAGCAGCUGACUACACGGGCUAUGAUAAUCGUUGGAACGCAAGGGAAACGUCGAGGACAACCGGUCAGCUGAGGAAACGGCUCUCGUGGGUGUGGAACAAUCCGGUCUAGGGCGAUUGAUUGUGUGGGUGUCGCGGUCGCUGCAGAGACGUCGAAGAGCGCCAUCGUCGUCUCGGCCGCCACGUGAAUCGCAAACACUAAGGAAUACUUGUAGCGUUGAAUAUCGUCGCGCGUACCCCGAGACACGCGUACGUGGCAGGGAUUCGAGUAAAUAUUCGUAGCGACGCGAACACCGCACUGGCAUCGAGUUAACGUCUGGCAAGCAGUGUCUCGCUGUACCACAAUUUCCAUCAGUUCGAUUACGCUUGUGAUAUUUCGUCGAGGAGAAUCGUUGUCAUCGUUUUUCGAACACUCUCCAUCGAUUGUGCUUCGACGCGGCGUUAAGUUGUUAUCCGUUCGUCCAAGGAAGAGAGUGUUUUAUUGUGUGCGCUUGAAGAACAAAACGUCUCCAGAUAUCGAAGAUCGACCAGAGACAAGGGAAAAAGUCGAAAGAAAAUUUGCCGAUGCUAAAGAGAAACACGACCAACGUAGCCAUUACCCUAACGUUCCCGAUUCUUCGUGGGCAUCAUCUACACUGAUUCGUUCUAAACGGCAUCGAAGUCAAGCGAGUUCACCUGUACCCGUGUGUGUAUGUGUACAGAAUCGCGUAUUCCUCUGCAAAGUUCAAGAACCUGCGCUUCGUGUGUACGGCAGAAACGAGUGCAGCAACGGCACCCGUGACCCGUUUUCCUUUUCAAUCGAUGUACUCGUGAACUGGGCCGCUCGUCCGCUCGUCCGCUCGAAACCUUGCGAUAGAUAGCUCGAGGUGCUCGACCACAGGAAAACAGAGUAUAUAAACGGAGUAAACAAAUGAAAAGGGAAGAAAAAGGGAACGGAUUGACGGUUCGAGAUAUAUAUUUUUCGCGAUAGGAGUAGAGGAAUGUUGUAACCGAGCUGGUUGGAGGUAGACGAGCGGGGGCGAGCAGUGCGCACAUUCUAACCUCGCCAGGCCGCCAUAUCGAGGAGGCGAGGAGGAAGCUGGUGGAAGGUCGGUUUCGAGGAACAGCCGGUGGUAGGUGUCGAGCACUCGUGUUCCAUGGUGGGUUCGAGCGGAGAAGGUAGACCGGCUACCGGGGACGAGAGAAUGCGAGAACCUCCUCACAGGCUGUGAACAUGAUUUGUCAUACGGAUGCGGUCGCUGGUAAUCGUACGAGCAGAGAUACCGACGACGAGGAAGCCGACGGAGACGAGGAUCACGGAGCCAGGCUGCGUCGCGUUCGUGUCGAUGAUAAUCGCAUGAGAGGCAGCCUGUUGUCCGGUGAGAAGGCGCGGACGAACAAGGGUGACCGUUGGUGUCGAGUGGCUUCCUUUUGUCCAGCCGGUCGGUCGAACGUGCUCGUCGACUGGUUUCCUGGCUGCGGAUCGUUCACCAAUUCCUUCACGGAUUCGCGCGUCAGCUGUGUCGAACAGCAACCAGUGGAACGUUCGAAAGCGCGAAGACCAGCGCGUCGCAACUUACCAUCGUCGAACGCGUAUCCGUGUUGUCGCGGCCAACCGGUCCGGUUACCCGGUGUCGGAUGACUCCCCCCGUACGACAAAGCCUUCCCGUAGUCGUAGAAAGGACGCAAUACCCCGUAGGAACAAAGGUUAUCGCGCGGCGAGCAAAGCACCUCGUCGUCGCGGUUUCUCAUCGGCGGCGUCGUCGGUGGUGCGCCGGCCCGCGCGUCCCGUUAAACUCCUCGCGAUUACACCUUCCCGUGCACCUUCCUAUCUUACGUCCGUGAUGGCGGCUGUACCUGAUAUGUCGCACCUCACCCCCGAGGAGAGGAGCACCAUCGAGGAGGUUAUGAUCAGACAUAAACAGGAGGAGGAAAAGGAAAAUGAGAUUAUGAGACGAAAGCAGGACGAGGUGAAGAUCCUCGAGGAAAGGAUACGGGCCUGUUCGGAGAAACACAAGAAGGCGGGAGUGGAGCUGCAUGCCACGUGUCACAUAUGCCUGAAAACCAAGUUCGCCGACGGCGUCGGCCACAUCUGCAACUACUGCAGCAUCCGGUGCUGCGCACGCUGCGGCGGAAAGGUCACUCUACGGUCGAACAAGGUAAUAUGGGUGUGCAUCCUUUGUCGCAAGAAGCAAGAACUGCUGUCGAAGACCGGACAAUGGAUGUCGAAGGCGGGACUCGCUGCCGGGGACAACGCGAUGCUGCGACGGAUGCAGGACAUGCAGGUGGGUGGUCCUCCGGGACUCGUGGACCAAACUCAGGAUAAAAGACCGAAACUCGAGAGAGCGCACAGCGCGGCGGAAAAGGAGAAUUUGCCAUUGUUACUAAGGAGCGGAAGUCUGCUCAGAAGACAGUACUCUCAGCAAGAGCAAGGUCCGGGGCGACGAUUAUCCACCAGCGAUAGCGGGGUGGAUAUGUCCGUUUCGCCUCACUCGAGAAGUUUGCCAACGCCCCACGUAGCUGCUUCUCAUCAAAUUCAACCGCCGAGACAUCCGGACGCGUACGCCGAGGAUGACCCGAGUUUGUACAGAGGCGAGAUCGACGGUCUUAUGAAACAGCUCAACUACCAGAGACAACGACCGAUCUACACGGAUCAGAAUACGGAUCUCGCGAUGACAUAUGGUCAGCCAACGGUAGAAGCCGGCCCACCACGUAGCGCGGUGCAUCCUCCUCAGCAACAUUCGGUGCAUCAAACGCAAAGCGCGCACCCGCCACAACCGGUGGGUGGACAGGGUGGUCUUCAGCCUCAAAGAAGCUUCAGCAGCAGCGAGGAAGAACGAAGCACACCCGAGUGUGCCAGCGACGAGCCUGACGAAUCCGAGAAGGGGAAGGGGUACUACCACCAUACGGGAGGUCCGAUGUCAAUGUCCGGCAGUGGACGUAGAUACAACGGACCCCACAACGGGCAUCACAACACGGGCGCGAUGACCAUCGAGUAUAACGGUCAUCACCCACCGCGAGAGCCGCGAAAAGAAGAAAGCACUCUCGUCAGACGGAGCUUCCGAAGGAGUGGCGACGAAUGGCGCGCCGACAGUCGGAGGUUCACGGAGAGAAGGGGGAAAAAGACAGUGCGAUUUGACGGUGGGACCAAUGUCGGCGGCCCUCAGGAGGAUUGGUCUUGGGAGGCCGAUCGGCAGGGUAGCCAAGACAGCGCGACCAAAGACUCCGGGAUAGACACCUCUAGCACGUUCACGAGCAGUGAGGACAGCAACAGGGGCGACCUGCCCAAGCAUCCGUUAUCCUGGCAAAUGAGCAGAGACGGCCAGAAGAUCAUUGGCCACAUGGUGUUGCGAAAGCAGCCCGGUUCCGGAAGCAGUAGUAGCAUACUCGGGCUGAAAGUGGUCGGCGGGAAACUAUUGGAGGAUGGUUCUAUGGGCGCCGUCAUCGAGAAGGUCAAGGAGGGUAGCACGGCUGAUAUAGAAGGUCAACUGAGACCCGGUGACGAGGUGAUCAAGUGGAAUGGCAGGUCCCUUCAGGGCAAGAGUUUCCGUGAAGUUUGCGACAUCAUCGCCGAGUCGAGGCAAGAGCCCCAAGUGGAGCUGAUAGUUUCGCGAAAUCUAUCCCCGACGAGCGGUCCGGUGACGAUGCCCGCAGGACCGACGCCUACGACGCCGAUGGCGUCCAGAAGGAUCGCCGCACAGACUCAAUGGAGGCAAAAGCACCCGGAGUCGAUUUCCGGCCCGCAACAACCACAUCACAAAGGUCUUAAGAAAUGUAUUCUAUGGGAAUUAUACGACGCGAGGCGCGAGAAACCUUCGGUUUUAGUGACCUCGCCCGGCUCGCCGGAUCUCCACGCUCAGGGACGGGCCAGACAUCUACGCCACCCUCCUGGCAACGCGAACGUGGGUGGUAAUCUUCAGGUGAAGCUCAGCUUCGAUCCUAUGGCGCUUCGAUUGAUCGUCACGUUGAUCUGCGCGGCCGGGCUCACGCCCAGGAGCAACGGACAGCCUAGAAAUCCCUACGCCAAGAUCUUCCUGCUUCCGGACAAGGGCGAGAAGUCGAAGAGACGGACGAAAACGUUGGCGAACACGAACGACCCGAGAUGGAACCAGACGUUCGUCUACGAAGGUGUCAGGGGCGCUGAAUUGAGGAAAAGGGCGCUGGAGAUCACGGUUUGGGAUUACGGGAAGUACGACACGAACGAUUUCCUGGGCGAAGCUGUGCUCGAGUUAGCCACCGCCCGUCUCGACGAGGAACCGGAAUGGCUACCUCUGAUCGGACACGGCGAACAUCGGCACAUUGGAUACUAUCAGGAGCCCGAUGACAUGGUGAUAACUCCGGUGGACUGCCAUCUCAGUCCACCGUCGACGACGUCGCGGCUGAGCGACUCUGACACUUCCGAAUGCGAUAUCACGGACUGCGACGUCUCCAGGGAGCAAAGGAGAACAGCUGACGGUGCCAGUAUAAGCAGUAUCGGCAGUUCCUCCAGGUUUCAUAAUAUGCCGUCAAAUUAUAAGCGCCACUAUUCUAGCCCCCCGCCGGAAAGGGAGCUAUGCCUGGACGGGGAGCAUCGAAGUCGCAGGGACAUGUCGCCGCAGGGGCGUAAACGAGCCGCCCUCAUGAUACGUGACCAACCAGCGUCUAUUUCUGGUUACCAGGCUUAUCGCAAGGAGGAUAUACAUCGAGGAAUGAUGGGGCACAGGUCGCACAGUGCAGCGCCUAUGGACUCGCCGAGCCUUCGAUACCGAGGAAGGUCUCAAAGUCCCACAGGUCAUCGCUCUCUGUCUCCGCCGGAACACAGAUCCAUGCCCUACUCGCACGGCUACGUGUCACCCAGAUUCGGCUCGAGGUCGGCAACUGCCACACCCACGGGUAGCCCUAAGAAGAGACAGUUACCCUUGAUCCCGUCAGCAUUGAAGGAAAGGGCUGCGAUGGAUCUCGAGGAAAGGGCGAGAUUUAUGAGACACCGUAACAGGCAGGUGCACACGACGUGCAGGAACACGGGGAUGGGAGGUUGGGAAAGACACUAUAGCGGACUGUCGGACUCGGAUCUGCCCUCGAUAGAUCACGAUCCGUUAUCUUUGCCGCACAGUCACGCUUAUCGAAUGCACAGACCGCGAAGGGGACAUUUAAGUCCUGACAAAGACGUACUUGGGGAUCUCGGUGACUCUGAUAUGGAGAGUAUAGCCUCCGUGACGAGUAGUGCCUUCAGUACGCAAUCGGAACGACCACGUGGAUCUAGAGGGCUAAUACCGACAGUUAAAAACGUUUUAAUACCCGGUGUCAUAUCCCCUAUGCCCCUGCCCCCUAGGCGCAAUAGGCGCAGGCACAGACUUAGGGUACCCUGCAGCGAAUGUCACUGUCCGAACAACAAUCCCACCAAGCCCAGGAGCAACAACCCAAGCAAGCACAAUCCCACCCCGCAUCCCCUCGUACGGAGCAAGUCCGCAGUGGUGCGCUCGUUGUACAGAAAGAUGCGUACGCCGUUCACGAGGUCGCAGACCGUCGACGAGAACAUGCUGAGAUAUUACAGCCCUGAGACCAGCGAGUACAGCGUCUCCGAGGGUUACAUGCUCAAGCCAGAGGAGCUUACCGGUAGCUCCAAGAAUCGUAUACCAGAGAUAUACGUGGAGGAUUGCCUACAAGUCGACUUCAACGAUCGUCUCAUCGAGAAGUUUCGCGACAGAUACUCGUCGCCGUACCUUCUGGACAACGGUAUGCGUAGACGGUCUCGUAGCUGGCAGGAACGUGUCACGGGGAGAUCCGCGAAACCUAGACAACUCCAUCUAUUCUCGAGAGGCUUGCACGAUCUAACCGACGAUCUCGGCAUUAGGAACCUAGACAUUAGCAUACGACCGCGUAGGUCUUUUCUAUUCUCAAAGGCUAGAAGCUUCGAUUACGACGUGCUACACGAUGCCUAUGCCGAUCGUUACAGUUUCGGUCUGGGUGCCGGUAUGCUGUCGCGUCGCGCCAAGAGUUUCGAGUACGAUACAAUUUCUAGCAACAUAUUCAGCGACGACAGUCUACGAACCGCUAGACGAAAAUUGAAAAGAAACUUGUCUAUCAACGACGCUGGUUACGGCGACAAGAUACCCGCGCUGGGUGAUCAAAGCAAAUCGUACUUCGAUUCGAACGGCGACGACAAGGUACCGAAGAGUCUGCUGAAUCGCGAGAAGAAUUACGAUUACCUGCUGAAACAGGAUCACAAACCGUUCUACGGUUACGAUUCCGAGUUCAGCUGCGGCGAGACUGAGAUUUACAUGCCGCGUUUCGAUAAACAGAACGUCGAUCCGAACCUCGCUCGGAAGAGUUAUCGCUCCUACAACCUGACCGGUGAGCAGUCUUUCAGCAGCGACGAUCAGAUCGGUCUGAGAAACGUCCUAGGCAGGGAGGAUCCGACGAAACGAAAAUACAUGGACUCGUCCUCCUUCGGCAGAGACAUGUCCGAGAAACGUACGAAGAAUCUCGACAGCGACAUUUGCGAUUCGGCUAACGAUCACAUUUACUGCAGCAUCGACGAAGCUCUCGCCUCGACGGACGGUUACCCUCGCGAUAGGGACGUCACUUGUUCACCGAUUCGCACGGUCGCCGAUUUGGAGCGUUACGACAAUCAGAGACCGAGCAGUCGGUCUCGCAGAAGAACGAAAAGCAACGAGUCUUAUUUAGAAAACGGAUACGAUAGUUACGAUUGGGACGUCGAGUACGACGAAGGGUUCAUCGACAGGGGAAAGAUCGAGGAUUACGACGAGAGACUGUACGAUUACGAGGACGAGGGAGUAGAUGAUUAUUACGACAGAAGAGAGGAGGCGAGUCGAGGAAGCGGACGGAAGAGGAGAACAUCGCGAUACCCAGAGGACGAGUACAUCGGCGACGAGUAUCGGGAUUAUCGUUCCGCCGAUGAGUACGAUUAUCAAACGCACAGCGGUCCAGUGUGCAGGGACUCGUAUCAGGACAAUACGAUGCCACGAAGAAGACGCAGACGAAGCCGAAGAGGUAGCAGAGAAACGAGCAUCGGUGUGUACGAAAAUCUGCAACCGUAUCGGGACUUGUCGUCGAUGAAAGACAGCCUGACAGUUCCGAGCUUCUCGGAGAGCAAACGUAUGAUGCUGCAACGAGCCGAAUCGUCGCCGGUUUUGCGUUCCGACGAGGAAUUAAGCUCGGCGGAGAGAGCGGAGAGAGCUAGACGGUUGUAUCGACGCCGAAGAAACAGCAGCUGUCCCGAAGCCAGAGAGAUCCGAUACUACGAUACGCCUCGGCGGAAAGACGAAGAGAGAAGCACGAACUUCAUUCUGGACUCGGACGAGGAGUUCGGCUCGAUGGAGACGGUCGUGUGCGCGGACUGUUUCCGUCAAAAGAACGAUACGGUCAUGGUUAGCGAGGGUACUAGACCGGCAGGGUACUACGACGCGGAACAGGAACGGGACGUUUGUUGCAUAGAUUCGAGAUGCGAGUACGAGGACGCUCGAGAUCGCGACUAUCCGGAUACUUGCGAAUUGACUAGGUCGGGAUCGUUACGUUCGUCGUUGCAGUAUCGGUCUAGGCGUAAGAGUAGUUGUCCCGAGUGUCGGGAGUUAGCUAUGUCCUCGGAGUUAGGUAGGUCCGGUUCGAUGACGCGUAAAGCCGAGGAGAGAAGGCCGUCGAUAGACUCGAGGCACACUAGGUACCGUAGACGAAACAGCAGUUGCCCGGAGGCUAGGGACCUCGAGUUGCUCGAGAAGAGGCAGCAACAGCAACGUGAUCAACAGCAAGCCCAACAGCGUCAACAGCAGCAGGGUAGUAAGAGGAACGUAGCGAUCAGCGAUACCCUCGAGUACUACGAGUACUCGAUGGAGAGCGAGAGCCAGUGCAGCGAGAACUGCGGAUUUGGCCCGUGCGAUCCGCGUAGGCCCCGUAACCGAGCACCCCACCCCGGUAACGCUAAUUCAAGUCUCUUUGAUUCCCAAACCGCUACCUCCGACACUGCUAAAAACUACCACCCACGGGCCGUCGAUCACCACGAUACCUCACGAAACACGAAAACGUCGACCCGCGGCAACGCCGACGAAUCGACCGGGGCCCUAUCGACCACAUCCCCGACGUCGUCCAUCCGACGCCGUUCGCGGAAAAAAUCCGCCCACGACACCGGCGACCAACAACGCGGCGACGACGACCAACGGGAUCGCCGAUCCUCCUCCAUGCCUGAAAGCAGCGAGUACAGCGGACAAUCGAGCUCCUACGAAAAGACGUCCAGGAGUCAGACGGCUGAUAACGAGCGCGACGAUCACGCCAAAAGGGGCCAGUUCACCAGGAGUCUUAGCAACACCGACGCCCCGCAGGACGAGAAAGUUGACGGUAGUUUGAGCGAUACGGCGAUCGGUCUGAACGUCGAAGACUCCUCGAGGAGGGGUCGCAAGAGUUCUCCCGGGAGUAAAAGCGGAAGCGGAAGCAGUAGCGGUGGCGGAAGCGCGGUGCAGUAUCAGUCAGGUCUUGGGAAGAAGAGUAACAGCACCAGUCAACUGUCCGCCACAGAGUGCGGUAUCGGCGGGAUCUUCGUCGGGAGUGGUAGCUCGGAGGCACGUGUCGGUUUAUCGAGCCGGAAACGCAACAGCACGCCGAGCAGCAUACAACGUUCCGAGGAGAUUGUACCCUAUCAACGCUUUGAAUCCGGAAAACAGUCGGGAUCGGUGGCCAGUGACACAGCCGGAAGUCUCAACUCGAUCUCUAGUUCCGAAGGAAGCUCUUGGUCUCCCAGUCUGCGAAUGACAGGCGAAACUGGCCAGUUGAGAGACUUCAUCGAAGAUCUGGGCCCUGGACAAGUGGUGGGAAGACAAGCAUUGGGUGCUCGUUGUUUGGGUGGGAUUCAGUUGUCGUUGACCCAGAAGAAGGGCUACCUUGAAGUGGAGGUCAUACGUGCCAAAGACCUUAAGCCAAAACAGGGCAGUAAAGCGAUUCCAGCUUCCUACGUGAAAGUUUAUCUGGUGAACGGGAAGAAAUGUAUCGCAAAGGCGAAAACGGACGCGGCUAGGAAAACGUUGGACCCGUUUUACCAACAAUCGUUAUCCUUCAGAGAGAAUUGUCGGGGUUGUAUACUGCAGGUGACGGUAUGGGGUGAUUACGGCCGAUUAGAGGGGAAAAAAGUGUUCAUGGGCAUCGCGCAGAUCGUGUUGGACGAACUGAACCUCAAUGAGAUGGUGUUCGGGUGGUACAAGCUGUUCGGCAACAUAUCCCUGGUCAGUGGACCUCCAUCCUUAGCUUUGUCCCGUCGAUCCUCGGCCACGUCCUUAGAAUCCUUUAAAAUCUAAGCAACAAUCCUUCCAGUAUCCUCUUUACACUUAACAAGACGUAGUGCAAAGUUCUUUUUAACUCUAAUUCCCAAUGAAAAAGAAAAUAACAAAAGUACAUAUAAAUAUAUAUAUUUGAUCGCGUUUAACAAUAUCUAUAUAGUUUUCUCCGACCAGAGUCUCGCUGUAGUUGUUCGCGAACGUUCAAGAUACAACAAGAAAAGACACUUUUAGAAUCUUUAAGACAACGUAAUCGUAAGUUUGAUCGUUAGUUUAUCGUGGUUCAUAUCCGUUCCAUUAUCCCCAAAUGAUAACGCUGUUGAAAGUUCGGGAAAAAUCGAAUCACGAAACGAUUUGAUCGGCUCUGAAUACGGUAAUGUCCAGUUGACUCGAUCGUAGAGGAGAGUUUGCGUGGAUACAUUUGCGCGUUCGUGUCGAUCGACCGAACGAGAUAAGUGUGCUUUAUUUGCAAGAUGACCGCGAGAAUGGGAUAAGUGUGAAAGGUCGUACGAGAGGAGAUGUGUUUUCUAGAAACACCACGUAUCACAUAUCAUGUACGGCAUAUCAGACGAACCGCUAGUCUGUACGUAGACUAGAUCUGUAGAGAUAGCAGCCAUGUACCCGGACCGCCAGAUAGUUUUAGUGAAAUCGAUGCGGAGGUACUCUAUACGAGUUGGAUAGGAAUUGCAACGUGGUGUUCGGUGAGAAAGGAAGUGCCGUACGGUUGUGACUCGAUGUUCAAUUAUACCGAAGUGAAAGCAGAGAAGGAGAAGAACAGUGAAGUGAUGUAAAUUGUUCAUACGUGACAUCGAACAUUGUGAAUACAUCGUCACGCGAACGACUUAAAAAAUGAAACACGCAAUUUAAAUAAAUAUACAUAUAUAUAUAUAUAUAAUAUAGGCUACGCGUAAUUCGCGACAGACAUUUGCAAAACGUUUGUACAUAAUUUAGGAGGCUCCAAAGUGUUAAUCGCCCAGUGACGAUUUACAAUGAAGAUUUCCAAAAAUACGGUCGCACCAAACAAAGCAAACAAUACAGGAACAAAGAACAAACUACGAACUCGUUGUCAAAGUUUUUAGCCAAGAAAAUAUCAUCGUCAGAGCGAUAUAUAUAUUAUUAUUAUUUAUUGUAAAUACUAUAACAAUGAUAUAUACAUAUAUAUAUAUGAAAUUCGCGAUACGUAUGCGCGCAGCUGUUUAAAUGACGAACAAUUGCCUUGACCGUCGCGUUUUCGUUGCCUGGUUGCCAUCCGCUUCCGGUCUCCAAUCGAUUUUUAUUAACCACGAUCGACGAAACGAGCUAUCCGUUCGAUCGUUCAGGAUCGAAGUCGCGUGGCAAUUUGGCAAGGAGACGGGGAUAUCGUGAAUUAGCGAAUUGUUGUUGAACGUUAUAAAAAAAGUAGCCAUCUUCAACUAUUUUGCAUGGAAGAGUGUGCUUAUAUGUGCGCGUGUGUAUGGGUGUGCGAGAAAGGGAAGAAAGAUUAAAAGAAAAAAAAAAAAAGACGCGAAUGUUAAAAAAAACUAUAUCGACUGUCAUAAUAUUGUGAUUCUGUUAGUUUUAUUUGAUUGUCGAGAACCUCACAGAUUCAGGUGUUUACGCGUACGGGGGACACAAAAGCCAUGUUGUACCAUUUAGGACUUUUAUUCUCUUUGUCGACUUGCACUCGAUACUUUAAAGGAAGCUCGUUUUUUUAACGUGAAUAUUUACUGAGAACGAACCGCCCACAAUAAAUCGCGUACUAAGCGGCGUUCCGCGGAUAAAGAAAUCCUGCCGCGAACGCUGCUGAUGAAUAUAUACGAGAAUAAUAAUAAAAAGGAACAAAAAAAAAAAGAAAAGAACAAAAAAAAAAGUAUAACAAAGCGAAACGACGACGCUUGUUCUCGUGAGGCGAGAAAAGCAGCGUACCUCACAAUCGAUUUUAUAUAUCUCUCUUAAUUCUCAUGUUAUGUGUUCGAUCUUUGUCUGUGCAUUUGUCCGGGUCACUUGUGAACACAAUUCGAUGAGCAUGCACGUGUACGUAGGAUUGUCUAGCAUUAAACAAUACCUGAUCGACGAACGUGACUAAUUUCUUUGUUUCUUUUUCGCUGACUGUGCUUGCAAUAUGUACAUACAGUAAAUGAAUCGAAUCUCAACCUCAUCGUGACAACAUGAACAAUUUCACGGAUUCGAUAACGACGGAUCGCUAAAUCGAACACGCUCUGUUUCACCUUUUCGUGGUGAAGAUUAUGUUUGUUCCUCGUUUGCUGCUCUUUCUAAGGUACUCCUUGGAUAUUGAUCCACGUUAACGAAAUACAAAGUUCCUUCCUUUCUUUUGUUUAUCUGCUCAUUUUGUCACUUUAUCGUGAUUUUUCUUAAAAAAAAAUCUCGAAUAGAAAUAUAAACGCAAGGAAAUUUCGAACGAUUAAGGGGAUGUAGGCGAUGAAAAGAUAUAUCGCCGUCUUUAGAAAGUGUUUGAAUUCGUGGAGAAACCGUGCAGAAAGGGAUAAUAGACAAAGCUUUGCUCUUUUUUUUAUAACUCGUGGACAAAUACAAAGCGAAGAUAUAGAGACCCGACAAUGCAACGCAAACCUACGAGCGAGCAAACGAAGAAUUACUAUUGUCUAAGGCGCGAUUUCUGAGCAAACAUUUUGCAAGUACAUGUUCUUCUAUUAGUGGACACUUGGGACAAUGACUACGUAAUUAACCACACGAAAACUAUAAACUCUGUACUAGUGGAUAAUGCUCUCGAUAAACUCGAGCAAAAGAAAUAUACGAAGAGACUACGAAUUAUGUAAUACCUUCAGUUUAUGAUAUGUACUCCGGUUACACGCGGCUGUAGGAUGCUUCGUGAAAUUUCUUCACAUUUUUGAAAUUAUUAUUUCAAUCAGUCCUUCGUUCAUAUUACAAAGUAUUAUGUAAAAUAUAAAUUUUCAAUUUUGAAAUAUUCAAUCAUUUUUCCAGUUUAGUGCUCGUUGAAAUUCUAACGGCAAUUAUUAUUAAAUUCUGUAAAGUUUCGCGAAGGUCUUAUCGUUGCCAUUUCUAACGCUUACUGUAUAAAAUACCGCAUAUCCUAUGCAAAAUGUAGGACUUUCGAAAUUAGUAACCGGUUCUAUGAAAUUUCGAAUGAAAAGAAAAAAGAGGAGACAAAAUAGAGAAAGGAGUUUGUUUUUUUAUAUUUUUAGUGGGGAUGUAAUUUGGAAAAGGAAUUCCUAUUUAGGAAUCUCUUAGAAAAUCAAAAAACCGGCAAACAAAAUGCAAACGAGACUAAAUUUUCUUCAGUUUCUUCAGUAAAUUUAACUUGAUUUCUGCCUUGAUUUUCUUCGCAAUUCAAUCUGAUUAAUUAUUAAUAUUAAAAUUAAUAUUAUUUUUACUUAUUUUAUUUACUCAGAGAAUGUCCAUGGCUCUCAGUCCGCAGCGAACGUGUUAAACGAACGAUCGCAUUCCUUUACGAAUUGAAAUUACCUUAGACAAGUUUCUGAACAUGUAAUUUAUGUAAAAAAAAAUAUUGGUAAAAAUAAUUAGGCGAAGAGAACCAAGGCGAUACUCGUUUAAUUUUCAUACUCUUGCCAUGCCCAUUUGUACAUAGGCAUGCUCAAUCUUAGGAUCGAACACGCAUCGUGAAUCACGUAUAUAUAUAUAUACAUAUACAUACGAAUAGUAUUAACUACGAAAACCAACAAAUUAAUAUCGGACUUUGUACCUAUAUACUUAUUAAUUAACUUAAACGAAGACGAAGAAACGGUUGGAGGGAAACAAGAAACUUUCGAACAAAUAUAUAUAUCGAGUCGUAUAAACACACGGGUGGAGGGAGGAGUAAGAGGGGGAGGGGGGGACGGGGAAUAAACUAACAUAAAAUAAAACCGAGAGUGAAAAGAACAUAGAACAAAAGUAACUAAUAAUACAAAUCUGCAUGGGAUGUAAACAAACAAAAAUGAAAUACUUCGAGAGCCAAGGGGUACCACUUUUGUCAAAUUUAGAGAGCCAAUUUAGGUUUACGAUUACGAUAUAGGGUGUGCGAGAUAGAACGAGUGCGAAAACUGUGAAAGUUAGCGAGUAAGAGAGAGAGAGAGAGAGAAAGAGUAAAAGAGACGAUAAAUGGAGGGAACUGUCAACGAUUUCUUUACAAUGAAAUUCAUUACUUACUUGAAACCUUGUAGACGCGAUCCAAGCGUGUAGCGUUAAGUGUUCCUGUCAUCUUGCGUCGAACAGCAACGAUCGAUCACCUGUCUUGAAUUCGUCACGCUUUGUUUCUUCUUUUUUUCACAAAAUUACGACGAACCGCGCACAAAAUGAAACCGAACGUACUAACGUUCCGACGAAACUCAGGAAUCUCUCGUAGUCUUUUCCAAUUGGACAAGCCCUCGGUCACGUGACCGCGAUGUAAUUGGUUCACGCGAUUCCCGCGGAUUGGGCUAGUGGAUAUCGGCGCGAAUAUCGAUUGUAAGAUCACACGGACACUGACCCUUCUAAGCACGUGAAAACCGCUCGGUUUCUAAUUUAUGCCACGCGACAAACGUCCGGAUUUAUUUUGGAAAUAUGGAAGAGAUAGGAAUGCGGGCGAGAGAGCAAGGAGAGAGUAUGGGUUGACACAAGAAAAAAUUGCGUCUUUUUCGUUAACAAAAUGAAGAACAAAUGAAGAAAUACAAUGGCGAAAAGAAUUUAAACAGUACGAUUAGACGACGUUCCGUGAAAAAAAAAAAAGAAAACAGAACUCGACCGAGAACUCCUCCGACGAUUUUCUUAAUUUUUUUUCUCUCCUGGGAAUAUGUCUAGGAUCGAUGCAGCUCGACCAACUGCAGAUCCUUGGCGUGAAACCGUUUUUAAAAGUAGUUCUGUAUAUAUCCACUGGAACGAGCCAGUCGGUAAAAAGUUCUAAGAGAAACACUGCUAAUGAUUCGAGGAGUUCAUGGCGGGAUCUAUGCGGAACGAUUAAUAUAAAGCGUUAGUGACUGUAUCCAGUAUAAUAUAUCUGAUAAAAGAUACCCCCGAUGCCAGACAUGGCGUGUGACAAUAAAGUGAUUCAAUGAU